rnacentral:rRNA from 1 species
GAUGAACGCUAGCUACAGGCUUAACACAUGCAAGUCGAGGGGAAACGGCAUCGAAAGCUUGCUUUUGAUGGGCGUCGACCGGCGCACGGGUGAGUAACGCGUAUCCAACCUGCCCAUCACUUGGGAAUAACCUUGCGAAAGUAAGACUAAUGCCCAAUGACAUCCCACGAAGGCAUCCGAAUGGGAUUAAAGAUUUAUCGGUGAUGGAUGGGGAUGCGUCUGAUUAGCUUGUUGGCGGGGUGACGGCCCACCAAGGCAACGAUCAGUAGGGGUUCUGAGAGGAAGGUCCCCCACAUUGGAACUGAGACACGGUCCAAACUCCUACGGGAGGCAGCAGUGAGGAAUAUUGGUCAAUGGGCGAGAGCCUGAACCAGCCAAGUAGCGUGCAGGAUGACGGCCCUAUGGGUGGUAAACUGCUUUUAUAAGGGAAUAAAGUGGGUCACGUGUGACUUUUUGCAGGUACCUUAUGAAUAAGGACCGGCUAAUUCCGUG